CCUACGGGUGGCAGCAGUAGGGAAUCUUUCACAAUGGGCGAAAGCCUGAUGGAGCAACGCCGCGUGCAGGAUGAAGGCCUUCGGGUUGUAAACUGCUUUUAUAAGCGAGAAAUAUGAUGGUAACUUAUGAAUAAGUAUCGGCUAACUACGUGCCAGCAGCCGCGGUCAUACGUAGGAUCCGAGCAUUAUCCGGAGUGACUGGGUGUAAAGAGUUGCGUAGGUGGCAUAAUAAGUAGCUAGUGGAAUCUGGUGGCUCAACCAUUCAGCCUAUUAGCUAAACUGUUAAGCUCGAGACCGUUAGAGGUAACUGGAAUUUCUAGUGUAGGAGUGAAAUCCGUAGAUAUUAGAAGGAACACCAAUAGCGUAGGCAGGUUGCUGGGACGGUUCUGACACUAAGGCACGAAAGCGUAGGGAGCAAACGGGAUUAGAUACCCGGGUAGUC
rnacentral:rRNA from 1 species